UUGGUUAAGUUAGAAAGGGCGCACGGUGGAUGCCUUGGCACUAGGAGCCGAAGAAGGACGGGACUAACACCGAUAUGCUUUGGGGAGCUGUACGUAAGCGUUGAUCCAGAGAUUUCCGAAUGGGGGAACCCACUAUCUUUAGUCGGAUAGUAUCCUUACGUGAAUACAUAGCGUAAGGAAGGCAGACCCAGGGAACUGAAACAUCUAAGUACCUGGAGGAAGAGAAAGAAAAAUCGAUUUCCUGAGUAGCGGCGAGCGAAACGGAAAGAGCCCAAACCAAGAAGCUUGCUUCUUGGGGUUGUAGGACACUCUAUACGGAGUUACAAAAGAAAGUUAUAAAUGAAGCGGUCUGGAAAGGCCCGCCAAAGACGGUAACAGCCCGGUAGUUGAAAUGGCUUUCCCUCCAGAGUGGAUCCUGAGUACGGCGGAACACGUGAAAUUCCGUCGGAAUCCGGGAGGACCAUCUCCCAAGGCUAAAUACUCCCUAGUGACCGAUAGUGAACCAGUACCGUGAGGGAAAGGUGAAAAGCACCCCGGAAGGGGAGUGAAACAGUUCCUGAAACCGUGUGCCUACAAGUAGUUAGAGCCCGUUAAUGGGUGAUAGCGUGCCUUUUGUAGAAUGAACCGGCGAGUUACGAUUUGUUGCAAGGUUAAGCGGAAAAAGCGGAGCCGUAGCGAAAGCGAGUCUGAAUAGGGCGCAUAAGUAACAGGUCGUAGACCCGAAACCAGGUGAUCUACCCAUGUCCAGGAUGAAGGUAAGGUAAUACUUACUGGAGGUCCGAACCCACGCACGUUGAAAAGUGCGGGGAUGAGGUGUGGGUAGCGGAGAAAUUCCAAUCGAACUUGGAGAUAGCUGGUUCUCUCCGAAAUAGCUUUAGGGCUAGCCUCGAGGUAAAGAGUCAUGGAGGUAGAGCACUGUUUGGACUAGGGGCCCUUCUCGGGUUACCGAAUUCAGAUAAACUCCGAAUGCCAUGUACUUAUACUCGGGAGUCAGACUGCGAGUGAUAAGAUCCGUAGUCGAAAGGGAAACAGCCCAGACCACCAGUUAAGGUCCCCAAAUAUAUGUUAAGUGGAAAAGGAUGUGGGGUUGCUUAGACAACCAGGAUGUUGGCUUAGAAGCAGCCACCAUUGAAAGAGUGCGUAAUAGCUCACUGGUCGAGUGACCCCGCGCCGAAAAUGUACCGGGGCUAAACAUAUUACCGAAACUGUGGAUGAACCUCAUUAGAGGUUCGUGGUAGGAGAGCGUUCUAAGGGCGGUGAAGUCAGACCGGAAGGACUGGUGGAGCGCUUAGAAGUGAGAAUGCCGGUAUGAGUAGCGAAAGAAGGGUGAGAAUCCCUUCCACCGAAUAUCUAAGGUUUCCUGAGGAAGGCUCGUCCGCUCAGGGUUAGUCGGGACCUAAGCCGAGGCCGAUAGGCGUAGGCGAUGGACAACAGGUAGAGAUUCCUGUACCAGUGCUAAUUGUUUAACCGAUGGGGUGACACAGAAGGAUAGGGAAUCGCACGAAUGGAAAUGUGCGUCCAAGCAGUGAGUGUGAG
rnacentral:rRNA from 1 species